UAUCAGGGUAGUGGAUUCGAAUCCUACCUCUGACCAUACCUUUUCCCCAAAAUUUUAUAUGCAAACUUACCAAUACCACUUAUUUGAUCAAACGUAUCGUGAUAUUUGUGGUCCAUUUAUUAAAAGUUAUCAUAUUUACUCGUUGUAACAAAGUGGAAUAAUUUGUUUAAAGUAUCUUAGAUAAAAAGGCAUGUUACCAGACAAGAGAAAACAAUUAAAAUUAAAAAAAAAAUAUGAAACAUAAAAUAAUGUAAAAAUAAAACAGGUAUCGUUAACAUUACAUUACAUUACGUUUUUAAAAAAUGAUAGCCGUGGUAACGUGUGUGGAAGUCAGGCCCACAGUGACAUUGGUUAGCUGUAUAUAAAUAUAGAUAUUUUCAGGAUACAAAUAUAAGUUAAAUUAACGAAAACGCCCGAAAAUAUUUGCAAAGAUUAAUGUGUGCCAGGUCAAAACUUACGGACUAUAUACGAUUAUUAUGAAAAUAAACACAAUCGUCUAACAUAGACUUUUCAGCAAAUGCUAUAUAAGUAUUUGCACUGAUUCAUCCAUCUCUUGGUAAAUAAACUGUACAUAUAGGUUCUGCAGCACAGUUUUACUGCAACAUUAAUUGAUAAUAAUUUGUAUGCAUAUUAACUAAAUUUAUGAGAUAAUCGGAAUGGCCUAAUUUAACCCUCUGCCGUUUAAUUGGAAUCGACCAAUCAGCGCGCGUUCAUCUAGCCCGAGGCGAUAACAUCUGGUCGAAGUGACCGCACGCACUAAUCUGUAUAUUGCAAAAAUGUUAACAUUAGCGUUAUUCUGCAGAGGAAGAUGAAGGCUCGGGUUGACACAAGAGAUUUUUCAAUUAAGACCAACUGGAUGAGGAUUUGUUUUCACGAUAGAGAAUACGCUUACCUUAUGUGAGAAGUUUGGUCAACAGAUGCUGACAGACAGCCCGGAUGAGCUAUUCGUUCUCAGUGACAUUCGUACCUCAACAGAUAAAAGCUAACAUUUAUUGAUAUCAUGAAACUGAAUAUUUCCAUGGGGUGCAUCAUUUGUAACCUGCUUACAUAUUGUAUUCCAACACAGAAUGCAACAUGCAUCUUUUCAAAGAGCUAAAUUUGAAUACAUUUUCAGACAUUAGAAGGGAUGUACUGCUCUUCUUGGCAGACGGCAAAUCGAAAAGCCUAUAGUGGGAAUCAACAUUCACUUGAAUAACGAAACAUUUACAAACAGUAAUAAAAGAAGUGGUACUAUACUUAACAGUGCGGCGCAUAUUUAAAUGUGCGAAUUGUUAGUUUUUCAGUUAGAAACGAACAUUUAGAAAUGCAUAAUGUUAUUGAUUACUAUAAGAUUCUUUCACUGGUUGUAGGUGUAGAUGGGAAUUUCCGGCCUCGAGGGUAACUGUUUAGCAGUAACGAGGUUCCAGUUACCCAAGAGCAGGAUAUUCCCAUCUGCACCUAUAACCGGUGACAGAAUCUUUUUCUUGCAUACCGAUAUCAAGAAAUAAUAAUAAAAAUAAAAUCAAUCGAACGGCUUUAUUUAUAGAACUAUUUCUUAUAGCAGCGUAUUUAAACAAAGCGCGAAAAGCAACGUCCGUAAACAGGAAAUAUAUCAUGACGUUUCAUUGACAAAUAACAAUGUUUAGUUCCGAUUUUGUUUUAUCAGUUGCAGCGUAACGUUGAUAAAAUAACGUGCUUUGAAUCGAGAAAUAUACUAUCAGGAACAAAGAGGAUCUGUCAAGGUAUUGGAUUUUUAUUUCGUUUUUGAAAUAAAAUAUAAAUAACUACAUGAAUCAUCUACAUAUAUGUAGUUCGUAAUACGUCAUUUAAAGCACGAGAGUCAUCUUACACCCCGGGGUGAAAGAUAAGAUUUUCCCAGCAUCGGUAAAAAUACCGGAAAUCCCCGUCUGGUAUGCAAAAAUUACAUUUUCUGCUUAUUUCAUUUGGACAAGAAAUAAAAAUAACUCAUAAUCGUACGAAAAAAACUUUUGUAAAAAGUAUUUAUGUUAUAUACAAUAUUAAUUUAAUCUUACUUGUCUUCAUUGAUGAUAAUGUUUUUCUCAUA